rnacentral:rRNA from 1 species
GACGAACGCUGGCGGCGUGCCUAAUACAUGCAAGUAGAACGCUGAAGGAGGAGCUUGCUUCUCUGGAUGAGUUGCGAACGGGUGAGUAACGCGUAGGUAACCUGCCUGUUAGCGGGGGAUAACUAUUUGAAACGAUAGCUAAUACCGCAUAAUAGUAGAUGUUGCAUGACAUUUGCUUAAAAGGUGCAAUUGCAUCACUACCAGAUGGACCUGCGUUGUAUUAUCUAGUUGGUGAAGUAACGGCUCACCAAGGCCACGAUACAUAGCCGACCUGAGAGGGGGGACGGGCCCAAUGGGAAUGAGACCACGCCCAGGAUCCUACGGGGGGCAGCAGUAGGGGAUCUUCGGGAAUGGACGGAAGUCUGACCGGGCAACGCCGCGGGAGUGAAGAAGGUUUUCGGAUCGUAAAGCUCUGUUGUAAGAGAAGAAAGAGUGUGAGAGUGGAAAGUUCACACUGUGACGGUACCUUACCAGAAAGGGACGGCUAACUACGUG